UGAAUGGAUGAUUGGGACACCAGAUCUCAUGUACAAAACAUGCAUUUCCUGCUUAUCAGUGACCGCGUCCGCUCUGGAAAAGUAGAGAGUUAAAAGACUGGCUACCUCGAACCGCAUCGCUCUUUAAGCUACUGUACCCUAUAAAAGUCACGCAAGUGUUAGCAUGGUAUCGGAUGUUUGAGCCAUUAAGACUAUAUAGGCCUCUAUCCACCAACUCUACUAUAACGCCGUUGGCUGGAUUUUGCCUACUCAUCAGGUUCUAGAGAGCAGAGGUGGACGUUGUAAUUGCUUUGUGAGAGUUUUGGUGUCAAGACAACUCUGGAAAGAUGGAGCUUCCUCACUGGCACAUUACGGCAUGAUUAAUCAGUACAAAUCUAUUCAGUGGAUAACAAGUUGAUCUCAUGAUGUAGCAUUGAUUUGCAAGAGCUGUUGAUGCCUUUAUUAGUGAUAGUCUUUCAGUUUGUUGAAGCAGCUAUUUGAAUUGAUGCAAUUUAUGAAGGUUGCAAUCCCGUUA